UACGAACGCUGGCGGCAGGCCUAACACAUGCAAGUCGAACGCCCCGCAAGGGGAGUGGCAGACGGGUGAGUAACGCGUGGGAACCUACCUCUUGGUGAGGAAUAACUUCGGGAAACCGGUGCUAAUACCGCAUACGCCCUCCGGGGGAAAGAUUUAUCGCCGAGAGAUGGGCCCGCGUCGGAUUAGCUAGUUGGUGAGGUAAAGGCUCGCCAAGGCGACGAUCCGUAGCUGGUCUGAGAGGAUGAUCAGCCACACUGGGACUGAGACACGGCCCAGACUCCUACGGGAGGCAGCAGUGGGGAAUAUUGGACAAUGGGCGCAAGCCUGAUCCAGCCAUGCCGCGUGAGUGAAGAAGGCCUUAGGGUUGUAAAGCUCUUUCGACGGGGAAGAUAAUGACGGUACCCGUAGAAGAAGCCCCGGCUAACUUCGUGCCAGCCGCCGCAGUAA
rnacentral:rRNA from 1 species